CCUACGGGAGGCAGCAGUGAGGAAUAUUGGUCAAUGGCCGAGAGGCUGAACCAGCCAAGUCGCGUGAGUGAAGACGGCCCUCCGGGUUGUAAACCUCUUUUGUCGGGGAGCAAAGCGAACCACGUGUGGUUCAUUGAGCGUACCCGAAGAAAAAGCAUCGGCUAACUCCGUACCAGCAGCCGCGGUAAUACGGGGGAUGCGAGGGUUAUCCGGAUUUAUUGGGGUUAAAGGGUGCGCAGGCGGAGGUACAAGUCAGCGGUCAAAUUGCGGGGCUCAACCCCGUACUGCCGUUGAAACUGCAUCCCUUGAGUGCGCGAGAAGUGUGCGGAAUGCGUGGUGUAGCGGUGAAAUGCAUAGAUAUCACGCAGAACUCCGAUUGCGAAGGCAGCAUACCGGCGCGCAACUGACGCUCAUGCACGAAAGCGUGGGUAUCGAACAGGAUUAGAUACCCGAGUAGUC
rnacentral:rRNA from 1 species